rfam:Izhakiella sp. D4N98 NODE_22_length_68783_cov_107.174_ID_4206, whole genome shotgun sequence.
CCUGUUGCUGGGUCGCCUGCAACAGG